rnacentral:ncRNA from 1 species
UUAAUAUUGUUGAGAUGAACUAUUAGAUUGAUUUCAUUUUUCAGAAACCAAGUGGGUGAUGUAAACUUGGAUUUGAAAUAAUUGAACUUAUCAUCGAAUUUUAACCGAAUUAAAAGUUAAACGUUUUCCGCGUUAUGGAAUCAAGAGUCUCUUAUGAGAAAUUUAGGUGGUACCGCGGAAUCCUCGUCCUAUAG